CCCAAAGUCGUGGCUAGUAAACCAGUAGAAGACCACGAUCCCCAUCUAAUGAGACAACUCCCCAGUUCCUCCCACCUUCCUCAACUCUCCUCUUUCUUCGAUUAUGGAUGCUAUAAAAACAAUCGAUUUUUUGAAACCGUAUACACAGAGAAGAUUAUACUUCAGAUUUGGAAAAAGGAAAUUCAUCAAUUUCAUUAUUCUCUGCAGGACAUCAUCGAUUUUAUCUGCACAAGCUGGAAAAAAAACUUUAUGUUUUCUGUCUCUACUGGUGGUAAAUCUCUGUCUCUCUGCAAGUGAAGUUUGGCCAAGUAGAAGAGGCACUCGUUGAUAAUUAGGGUGCUCAAGUUGGUUCGUACUUGGUCUUCUUGGAUUUCACUCAUUCUUCCAAGUGGUUUUGGUUGUUGCUGCUACUUUGCUGUUGCACAUUCAAGGGACUUGUAUGAUAUCGGCAGGGGAGAUUUUGGCAAAACAUUCUCUCUUUCGUAGAUUGGAGCAAACCUGUUAUGUUUGUAAAACCCAUUUGUAAACGUCGUACAAAAAACUUGAGAUGUUGAUGGUCGAAAGAUCUCCAUUUCAGGUUGUCUCAUAUUCCAUUGCCUUGGGGAGCUGCGUAGUGGCCAUUACCUCUUGGGACGGGCCAUGAGACAUACAUUUAUUCAAUAAUUUAUUUUCAUAAUUACAUGGUUACUUGGUUUGGUAUAUAUAGCCUAUGAGGAUAUCGAAUUAUAAAGAACACCAUCUUUCGGGACUGUAUGGCUUAACGCCUUGGUGACAUAUUCUGCAAUUCUGAGGCUUGUAGGUUUGAAUUUUAUGGGCAACCAGUUGCAAAUUGCUUGGUAUUCUACCAUCCUUCUGGCUUGUUCAACUAUUGAAUCUGAAUUUGUGUUAGAUUAUGAGUACAUGUUUUACGUUUUAGUCUUUGAUCAUAAAUGGCUAUGGUUACCUGCGCUUCUGAGAGUUAUCUAUGAAGCUAAAAAGUUUAAAAUGGUUGAAUUUCUUGAUAUGAGCCAUAUUUUGUAGACUAAAUAAAUGAUUUAGGAUAUCCCGUUCGAUUAUGUUAUUGAAUUGAAUUAAUGGUGAAAUUGGGCUGUGAUGAUCAUUACACAGCUUUAUGCCAGUUCUGCUUCAGAAAAUUCUUGAUAGAGAGAGCUGAAAUGCGAAUAUUCCUUAGAAAAUUUUCAAAUUUGACCCAUUCUGCAAAUUUUAGGUCUUCUUGGAGUUCCCUCAAUCUUCUAAGUGGUUGUUGCUGCUGCUGCUGCUGUUACUUUGCUGCUGUACGUUCAAGGAAAUAUGGAUGAAAACCCACAACCUCCGGCAGCAAAGAAAGUAAGAGGAGGGGCUAAGUUCAACUUCCUUAAUAAGCUGAAAAGGGGUGAGAAAGUAUCACUGGAAUUUCGCCGGGGUGCACCAGUUGGACCGAACGCAAAUAAGAUCUCGGCUUAUUGUGGAAAGCUGGCACUAAAUGGAGAAAACUUCCCGUUUGACAUUCCAGACUGGUCUGAUAUGCCCCAUAAGGAAGAAAAGCUUGAAGAAGCCAUUGAAGAGCUGAAGAAUAUUUUUCAUUAUUCUGGUGAGAUCAACUUUUGGGUGGAGGAGAAAAUCCAUGAAAAAUGGAAGGCAAACAAACGUAACAUGAGGUUGGAACAUUUUGAUGAGAAGAAGACUGAUGCACAAAACUGAGCUAGUUGUCCAAACGAAGUUAUUGACACUCAGUGGGCAAAUAUGUUGAUAUAUUGGAGUUCACUUGAAUUCAAGGUGAGAAUGUUUACAGAUUUAUCGUUUAUGAGUUUAUAUGUUAAAUUGUGACUUCUAACUUCUGAACCUUGAAAAAGAGUGAGAAUGGUUGGUUGUGCCUCAUCAUGGUGGUACUAAGUCAUUCGUGAACCACGCGAUAGAGGUAACGACUAAUAUGAAUCGGUAUUGAUAGUUAAUGUUAUGUAGAUCUUGACAUACUAUAUAUGAACAUAUAGAAGAGAUAACGCAAAAGAAAGCAAGUCGAGCUGCUGUGUAUCAGAAAACCUAUAGAGCCAAAGAAGGGAAAGGAGACCAGUAUUCUAAAAUCAUGGGAGCUGAGAAACCAGGUCGGAUUCGUGGUGUUGGUUCAACAAUUAAAGUAACCAAGCUUACGGGAGAAUCUUCUUCAAAUGUUGUCCAAAACAACGAGGAAAAUGCUGCAUUAAGAGAUGAAAUAAAAAAACUGAAGGAGGAUCAGGUUCAUAUGCAGAACGACAUGGAAGAAGAACGUCUUGAGAUGAAGAAAACUGUAGAUGAUAUGAAAAAGGCUAACGAGGAAUCACAGAAAAAAAUAGAUGCCCUUUUGCUGCUGUUUGCUGGUCGGUUAUGUAUUAGCAUAUCCACAAAUAUUUUUGGCAGUGUAUUCUCUAGAUUCUUAAAGCUUUCUCGGGCAUGUAUGAGUAUAUCCACAAAUAUUUUACAAGCUUUCCUAAUUGCAUUUUGUUUUGUAGAGGGACCUCCCACAUCCAGAGCCAUAGAGUUGUGAUCUUAUUACACGAAUCUGAGGUUAAUUUCAUUGAAAGAACAUGUUCAAGGUGUUGGAAGAUAUAUGACAAUUAACUUUGGAAGUAAGAAAUCCAUCUGUGAUAGUUUAAGUAUUUUAUUUUCGUUCACUUUAAGUAUUUGUGUAUCAAACUAAAAAUGGUUUAGUAUUAAGUAUUUAUUUGCUUCCUGUAUCAGACUCGGAAUGGUUUAGUAUUGAGUUUUUAUUUGCUUCUGAAUGUAAUCAAUCAGACAAACAUGUAGUACUUGUGUUUUUUAAUGAAUAAAUUGUUUUUCUGAAA